CUUCUCCAAGCCCUGGGUGGGAAGAAGCUUCCUUCCCCUCCUCCUCCCCUUUCCGCCCUAGCACUUUCUCUCCUCCCUCUUCUGAUCCCACAGCUUCUCUCUCUCUGUCCUCUCCUCCAGUCCUUUCUAUCCCCCUUCUCCUCGUUCUCUGUUCUCUGCCUUUCCUCCUUUCUCCAUCACUCUUUCCUCAUCCCUUCAGACGCUCCCGACGUGUUCCCUCCAGACGCUCCUGAACUCCAGGCACAGGGCUGCAGCUCGGCUGAGUUCCCCUUGCGAGGAUCGGCAGCGCCACCUUCAGUAAUCACUCAUGGACACCCAGGCUGUGCCAAGUGGAGUUCCGGGACCAGGGGCGCAGAGAUGGAAAGACAGCGGAGGAAGUCCCCGCCCUGGGGAAUAUAAGGAACGGUGCCGGUGCUGGGGGACUGGAGGUUAACCAGCCUCUCAUGCCUCUGCCACCGAGCUUCUGUGUAGGAAGCCAUCUAGGCUAGAAAUAAGCACUCCCGGAGGAAGCAGCCUUUCUCCUCCUGCAUAGCACCGCUUCCUUUGGUGCCUCUCAAGCCUGCUGUCCCCUAGUACAGCAGGCUUCUUUUGUUUCAGCGCUCUCCUCUAGUGCUGGAGACCCUCUCCUCAAAGCCGUCACAGGCACAGGAAUCAGAGAGCCCACCAGCUCAGCCUCUUCUCCCAGACAGCCCUGGUGGAGGUGGUGCAAUUUGUCUGCCAUCCUCCCCCCAACCUACUGCCCUU
rnacentral:lncRNA from 1 species